UAUAUGAACGACACAAAGAAGACUCCACAUGAAUUCUUAUAGAGUUCAUUCAAUCUCUGCUUACAUGAAAUAAGAAUACUUCUCCUCGGCAAGCGUAUAAUAAAAUAAAAUAAAAGUAAAAGUAAAAGGAGCGCCGCCGCCGACUGAGGCAGCCAAACAGGCUCUCGCAGCUGGGCAUCCCCUAUAAAAAGGAUUGCACUUCUGCUGGCCGUCUCAUUCAGUGUUUUGUGCUGAGUCCGAGAUGUUGGGCUGACGGUCAGCAAUCGCUCCUGCCGGAAGGACAAGCAACAGCCACCAAUUCGAUUCGCGAGCAGGGGGCCCGAUGCGACGCAGAGUGCUGCUCUGUAAAUUACGAAACCUGAAACAGAAACAGAACCGAUUGGCAGGCAUUUGCAAUAGCAUUUAACUCAAUUGGAAUGUAACUGAGUCCCAGCUCCGGCCCCAACGCCCCACGCCCGGCACACAACACCAACAACACUUUCGGCAGAUAUUUGGCUUAUCACAUCUAAACGUCAUCCAGCAACCGGCAACCAAGGCCAUUUAACGAUGCAAAUAGGCCCGGCGACCACUUUGUGGCACUUCGCAUUGUCAACCAGAGGCCGUCGUCAUUUUGCACUCAUCCCAAGGCAUUGAAUCGCACGGAACCGUUGGAGGAAUCCCAAACGCACUUUCGGCCAAACACCAAAAUUCACAUUUGCGAUUAAGUUUAGGUGUAACCAAUAAACACGACAAAAACUACAAUAGGCUACCAAA